GGCGCCGCUGCCACCGGGGGCCUGGGCUACCGCGCUGCCCACGGCGUGCUCCUGGAGGCCCUGGACGAGCUGCAGGCCGACGCGGAGGCCGUGCUGGGCCCGGGCCCCGAGGCUGAGUAACGGGCUGCGGGAGUAGGGCCCGGGGCUGCUCGGAAGCCUGGGUCUCAGCGGGAAGAGGAGGAGGCCAGGACUCCGAAGGGCCGCCUUCACCUGAGGGGCUGCGGGACAAACGGAAGAGAGACGUGGUCCCCCCCCCCCCCCCCGCCUGGGAAAGCUCCCCCGCGUUGGCUCUCUCAGGGCGGCCGCGGGGUGCAGUGGGAAUACAAGGGAUGCGGGGAGCUGUGGACCUGCAGCUCUGCCCGCGGCAGGCUUCCGAAGGCGAAUCUGGAGUCGGAAAGGACCCAAGAGCGCACCUAGCCCAGACUGUACCCGGGCCGGAAUCCUGCCACCACGUGGUAGGGGAGCGCCAGCCCUGAGAGCAGCGUCCUUCCAGGAGGGAGCACCGAGGAUGGAGAGCUCACUCCCUCCCGAGACAAUCCGUCCGACUCCGGGCUAGCGGGGGGCGUGGCCACAGAGCUGGUGGGUUUUUAAAUAAAUAUUUUGGUAAUAUUUCAA